rfam:Euryarchaeota archaeon TMED129 8587, whole genome shotgun sequence.
GAGCACGGCCAUAGCGGAGGGGUAAUACCCGGUCCCAUAUCGAACCCGGAAGUCAAGCCCUCCUGCGUCGUUUCCUGUACUGUGGUGCGAAAGCCCACGGAAAAGUUCGUCGUUGUGCCUU